GACGAACGCUGGCGGCGUGCUUAACACAUGCAAGUCGAACGGAAAGGCCCUGCUUUUGUGGGGUGCUCGAGUGGCGAACGGGUGAGUAACACGUGAGUAACCUGCCCUUGACUUUGGGAUAACUUCAGGAAACUGGGGCUAAUAUCGGAUAGGAGCUCCUGCUGCAUGGUGGGGGUUGGAAAGUUUCGGCGGUUGGGGAUGGACUGGCGGGUUAUCAGCUUGUUGGUGGGGUAGGGGCUUACAAAGGCUUUGACGGGUAGCCGGCCUGGGAGGGUGACCGGCCACAUUGGGACUGAGAUACGGCCCAGACUCCUACGGGAGGCAGCAGUGGGGAAUAUUGCACAAUGGGCGGAAGCCUGAUGCAGCAACGCCGCGUGCGGGAUGACGGCCUUCGGGUUGUAAACCGCUUUCGCCUGUGACGAAGCGUGAGUGACGGUAAUGGGUAAAGAAGCACCGGCUAACUACGUG
rnacentral:rRNA from 1 species